rnacentral:rRNA from 1 species
GACGAACGCUGGCGGCGUGCCUAAUACAUGCCAGUUGAGCGAUGAAGAUUGGUGCUUGCACCAAUUUGAAGAGCAGCGAACGGGUGAGUAACGCGUGGGGAAUCUGCCUUUGAGCGGGGGACAACAUUUGGAAACGAAUGCUAAUACCGCAUAACAACUUUAAACAUAAGUUUUAAGUUUGAAAGAUGCAAUUGCAUCACUCAAAGAUGAUCCCGCGUUGUAUUAGCUAGUUGGUGAGGUAAAGGCUCACCAAGGCGAUGAUACAUAGCCGACCUGAGAGGGGGAUCGGCCAAAUUGGGACUGAGACACGGCCCAAACUCCUACGGGAGGCAGCAGUAGGGAAUCUUCGGCAAUGGACGAAAGUCUGACCGAGCAACGCCGCGUGAGUGAAGAAGGGUUUCGGAUCGUAAAACUCUGUUGGUAGAGAAGAACGUUGGUGAGAGUGGAAAGCUCAUCAAGUGACGGUAACUACACAGAAAGGGACGGCUAACUACGUG